rnacentral:rRNA from 1 species
UACGGAGGGUGCGAGCGUUAUCCGGAUUUACUGGGUUUAAAGGGUGCGUAGGUGGGCAGUUAAGUCAGUGGUGAAAUCUCCGAGCUUAACUCGGAAACUGCCAUUGAUACUAUUUGUCUUGAAUAUCUUGGAGGUAAGCGGAAUAUGUCAUGUAGCGGUGAAAUGCUUAGAUAUGACAUAGAACACCGAUAGCGAAGGCAGCUUACUACAGGAAGAUUGACGCUGAGGCACGAAAGCGUGGGGAGCAAACAGG